rnacentral:rRNA from 1 species
GACGAACGCUGGCGGCGUGCUUAACACAUGCAAGUCGAACGGAAAGGCCCUGCUUUUGUGGGGUGCUCGAGUGGCGAAGGGGUGAGUAACACGUGAGUAACCUGUCCCUGACUUUGGGAUAACUUCAGGAAACUGGGGAUAAUACCGGAUAGGAGCUACUGCUGCUUGGUGGGGGUUGGAAAGUUUCGGUGGUUGGGGCUGGACUCGCGGCUUAUCAGCUUGUUGGGGGGGUAGUGGCUUUCCAAGGUUAGGACGGGUAGCCGGCCUGGGAGGGGUACCGGCCACAUUGGGACUGAGGGACGGCCCAGACUCGAACGGGAGGCAGCGGUGGGGAGUAUGGCGCAGUGGGGGGGAGCGUGGUGCGGCGGCGCCGGGUGCGGGAUGACGGGCUUGGGGUUGUGAACCGCUGUGGCCUGAGACGGGGCGGGAGUGACGGUAAUGGGUAAAGAAGCACCGGCUAACUACGUG